rfam:Clostridium sp. IEH 97212 scaffold_114, whole genome shotgun sequence.
AUAAGCCUUGGGUAGUCGCAAAUAGGCAGAGAUCCAGGGAUUUCCGAAUGAGGGAACUCACAUGGGUAACCCCAUGUAUCAUGCACUGAAUACAUAGGUGUAUGAGGGUAAACCCGGGGAACUGAAACAUCUAAGUACCCGGAGGAAGAGAAAGAAAAAUCGAUUUCCUAAGUAGCGGCGAGCGAACGGGAAAGAGCCCAAACCAGAAACUUGUUUCUGGGGUUGAGGAUAGAUCAUAAAAGAAGAGGUAUCUUAAACGAAAAGGGCUGGAACGCCCUACCAUAGAAGGUAAUAGUCCUGUAGAUGAAAAGAGAAAACUUCGAGAUCUAAUCCAGAGUACCACGAGACACGUGAAACCUUGUGGGAAGCAGGGAGGACCACCUCCCAAGGCUAAAUACUAACUAGUGACCGAUAGUGAAGCAGUACCGUGAGGGAAAGGUGAAAAGAACCCCGGGAGGGGAGUGAAAUAGAACCUGAAACCGUGUGCCUACAACCGAUCGGAGCACGUUAAAGUGUGACGAUGUGCUUUUUGUAGAACGAGCCAGCGAGUUACGCUAUGUAGCAAGGUUAAGUACUUAAGGUAUGGAGCCGAAGGGAAACCGAGUCUGAAAAGGGCGAAAAGUUGCAUGGUGUAGACCCGAAACCGGGUGACCUAUCCAUGGCCAGGUUG